ACAUGCAAGUCGAACGAAGUUUCUAGGCCUCUUGCUUCCAAAGAGACUUAGUGGCGAACGGGUGAGUAACACGUAGGUAACCUGCCCAUGUGCCCGGGAUAACUGCUGGAAACGGUAGCUAAAACCGGAUAGGUAUGAGGAAGGCAUCUUCCUCAUAUUAAAGCACCUUCGGGUGUGAACAUGGAUGGACCUGCGGCGCAUUAGCUGGUUGGUGAGGUAACGGCCCACCAAGGCGAUGAUGCGUAGCCGAUCUGAGAGGGUGAACGGCCACAUUGGGACUGAGACACGGCCCAAACUCCUACGGGAGGCAGCAGUAGGGAAUUUUCGUCAAUGGGGGGAACCCUGAACGAGCAAUGCCGCGUGUGUGAAGAAGGUCUUCGGAUCGUAAAGCACUGUUGUAAGUGAAGAACGCCACAUAGAGGAAAUGCUAUGUGGGUGACGGUAGCUUACCAGAAAGCCACGGCUAACUACGUGCCAGCAGCCGCGGUAAUACGUAGGUGGCAAGCGUUAUCCGGAAUCAUUGGGCGUAAAGGGUGCGUAGGUGGCACGAUAAGUCUGAAGUAAAAGGCAACAGCUCAACUGUUGUAUGCUUUGGAAACUGUCGAGCUAGAGUGCAGAAGAGGGCGAUGGAAUUCCAUGUGUAGCGGUAAAAUGCGUAGAUAUAUGGAGGAACACCAGUGGCGAAGGCGGUCGCCUGGUCUGUAACUGACACUGAUGCACGAAAGCGUGGGGAGCAAAUAGGAUUAGAUACCCUAGUAGUCCACGCCGUANACGAUGAGAACUAAGUGUUGGAGAGAUUCCAGUGCUGCAAUUACCGCAAUAAGUUUUUCCCCUGGGGGAGUAUGCACGCAAGUGUGAAACUCAAAGGAAUUGACCGGGGGCCCGCACAAGCGGUAGGAGUAUGUGGUUUUAUUUCGAAGCAAACGCGAAGAACCUUACCAGGCCCUUGACAUGGAUAUAAAUGUUCUAGAGAUAGAAAGAUAGCUAUAUAUCACACAGGUGAGUGCAUGGUUGUCGUCAGCUCGUGUCGUGAGAUGUUGGGUUAAGUCCCGCAACGACGCGCACCCCCUUGUCUUCUGUUACCCAGCAUUAAGUUGGGGACUCAGAGAGAGACUGCCGGUGACAAACCGGAGGUAAGGUGGGGAUGACGUCAAAUCAUCAUGCCCCUUAUGGCCUGGGCUACACACGUACUACAAUGGCGCCUACAAAGAGCAGCGACACCGCGAGGUGGAGCGAAUCUCAUAAAGGGCGUCUCAGUUCGGAUUGAAGUCUGCC
rnacentral:rRNA from 1 species